rnacentral:rRNA from 1 species
CCUACGGGAGGCAGCAGUAGGGAAUCUUUCACAAUGGGCGAAAGCCUGAUGGAGCAACGCCGCGUGCAGGAUGAAGGCCUUCGGGUUGUAAACUGCUUUUAUAAGCGAGAAAUAUGAUGGUAACUUAUGAAUAAGGAUCGGCUAACUACGUGCCAGCAGCCGCGGUCAUACGUAGGAUCCGAGCAUUAUCCGGAGUGACUGGGUGUAAAGAGUUGCGUAGGUGGCAUAAUAAGUAGCUAGUGAAAUCUGGUGGCUCAACCAUUCAGACUAUUAGCUAAACUGUUAAGCUCGAGACCGUUAGGGGUAACUGGAAUGUCUAGUGUAGGAGUGAAAUCCGUAGAUAUUAGAAGGAACACCAAUAGCGAAGGCAGGUUGCUGGGACGGUUCUGACACUAAGGCACGAAAGCGUAGGGAGCAAACGGGAUUAGAUACCCGGGUAGUC